AGAGCGAGACCUGUGUUUUGCUGUGAGCAGCAGGGCUUGUUCCUUCUGACGGAAAUUGGAGGGAGGAAAGUUUUAUUCUGUAAGCUAAACAGGUACAUCAGGUGUACGUGACAGACAGCCGGCUCUGGGUAAGACCCUGGGAGAUAAGCAUUUUCCUCACCAAGACUCAUCUCAUUGCCAUACAAGGAAGAUUUUAUUUUCCUAAAUAUUUUAAAUGAAUAUGAACUACUACUGGUCACGCAAGUUCACAGUAGAAAGAGUAGGAAAGAAGAUCCAGAAUGCAGCAGUCUUCACAAACCCUAUGUGAAAAAUAUACUUUGGACUGAAUAAUUGGGCAGAAGCAACAUGAACUAAUUUUCACUGGAAUGGCUGGAAAUGUAGUUGUGGCACUUCUCAGAACUGCUCUCUUACUGAAAAAAAACUGUUUGGAAUAUGAAGCCUUCCUGUGCUGUGACAGUAAGGUAAUGACUCUUAUACUCUAGAGCUCUUUGGGGCAGAGAGGUUUAUUAGGAAGACAGCACGGCAUCUUGUCUGUGAAGUGUAUGGAUUCUAUAUGAAAACAGCAAUUUAUCUUUACCUUCUAUCAGAAAUGCAAUGAGGCCAACAAAAACAAUUUUAUCUGUAAGUCUACUACGGGUGACACUAAUUAAGAAUGUUAGAUGUGUGAAUUUUGUAAUUCAGGUUGAACUGAUGUGAAAUUCUGAGCAUCAGGGUAAAAUUCCUUAAGUCCUGUAAACAAAAUAUGGAGAAAGAACUAUGCAAGUGAGUGUUUAAGACUGUACUUGCAAAAUGUGUUUAAAAACAUUAGAUGUUCUUACCUAAGAAACAUGUUAGCGUCAUAAUUGUGUAUUUUGAGUAAAAUGGUAUAAUUGUUUCACUAUCAUUAAUUCUCUUUCCAAUUCUUGAUUUUAUGUCCUUAUUUAAUACAUUUUUACAGACUUUUUAUUUGUUUGUUGUUUUUAAGGUAGUUGACCAGUUGAGAGUAAGGAAUCACAGUUUUUUUGGUGGAAUUAAAAUUUGUUUGCUGGAUCUUUCAUAAGAAGGCCAAAGUUGCCCAUGUAAGGAGGGAAAUAAAACUUUUCUUUGUAGUUUCAAUGACAAUGUUCAUGUGCAUUGGUUUUGUUUCCUGGAAAAUCUUACAUUGGCCAGGUAUGGACCUGUUGAUGUUGAGUAAAGUAAUUCUUUUUCAUUAUCCUUUCAUUUUGAGGUGAGGAGAAAAAAAUACAUUUUUAUAGCAUUAAA